rnacentral:tRNA from 1 species
GCCGCUCAUACUAACCCUCUCAGAAUCGGUAGAGCGUGAGACUCUUACCUGCAAAGCGUGAUCUCAAGGUUGCGGGUUCGACCCCCGCAUUGGGCU